GACGAACGCUGGCGGCGUGCCUAAUACAUGCAAGUAGAACGCUGAAGGAGGAGCUUGCUUCUCUGUAUGAGUUGCGCACGUGUGAGUAACGCGUAGGUCACCUGCCUGGUAGCGGGGGAUAACUAUUGGAAACGAUAGCUACUACCUCAUAAGAGUAGAUGUCGCAUGACAUUUUCUUAACAGGUGCAAUUGCAUCACUACCAGAUGGACCUGCGUUGUAUUAGCUAGUUGGUGAGGUAACGGCUCACCAAGGCAACGAUACAUAGCCGACCUGAGAGGGUGAUCGGCCAAACUGGGACUGAGACACGGCCCAGACUCCUACGGGAGGCAGCAGUAGGGAAUAUUCGGCAAUGGACGGAAGUCUGAACGAGCAACGCCGCGUGAGGGAAGAAGGUUUUCGGAUCGUAAAGCUAUGUUGUAAGAGAAGAAAGAGUGGGAGAGUGGAAAGUUCACACUGUGACGGUAUCUUAACAGAAAGGGACGGCUAACUACGUG
rnacentral:rRNA from 1 species